ensembl:snoRNA SNORD83 Small nucleolar RNA SNORD83
GCCACAUGAUGUUUCACUUGGAGAGAGCGCUCUGCGCAGUGCUGACCUUAAUCUAUCACCCUUGACUGAUGGCU